rnacentral:rRNA from 1 species
UACGGGGGGGGUAAGCGUUGUUCGGAAUUACUGGGCGUAAAGGGCUCGUAGGCGGCCAACUAAGUCAGACGUGAAAUCCCUCAGCUUAACUGGGGAACUGCGUCUGAUACUGGAUGGCUUGGAUCCGGAAGAGGGAUGCGGAAUUCCAGGUGUAGCGGUGAAAUGCGUAGAUAUCUGGAGGAAUACCGGUGGCGAAGGCGGCAUCCUGGACCGGCAUUGACGCUGAGGAGCGAAAGCUAGGGGAGCAAACGGG